rnacentral:rRNA from 1 species
GGAUUCCCCUAGUAACGGCGAGUGAAGCGGGAAAAGCUCAAAUUUGAAAUCUGGCGGUCUACGGCCGUCCGAGUUGUAGUCUAGAGAGGUGUCUUCUGCGUCGGACCAUGCACAAGUCCCUUGGAACAGGGCGUCAUAGAGGGUGAGAAUCCCGUCCGUGGCAUGGACUCCCGGUGCUUUGUGAUGCGCCUUCGAAGAGUCGAGUUGUUUGGGAAUGCAGCUCAAAAUGGGUGGUAAAUUCCAUCUAAAGCUAAAUACAGGCGAGAGACCGAUAGCGAACAAGUACCGUGAGGGAAAGAUGAAAAGCACUUUGGAAAGAGAGUUAAACAGUACGUGAAAUUGUUGAAAGGGAAACGCUUGGAGUCAGUCGCGUUUGCCGGGACUCAGCCUUGCUUCUGCUUGGUGCACUUCCUGGUACACGGGCCAGCAUCGAUUUUGAUCGCCGGAAAAAGGCUUGGGGAAGGUGGCACCUUCGGGUGUGUUAUAGCCCCUUGUUGUAUACGGUGGUUGGGAUUGAGGACCGCAGCACGCCUUUUGGUCGGGGUUCGCCCACGCCACGUGCUUAGGAUGCUGGCGUAAUGGCUUUAAACGACCCGUCUUGAAACACGGACCAAGGAGUCUAACAUGCCUGCGAGUGUUUGGGUGUAAAACCCAGGCGCGUAAUGAAAGUGAAAGGUUGGGACUCUUCGCUGAGGCACCGACGCCCGAUCCUGACGUUCUCUGACGGAUUUGAGGUAGAGCAUGUAUGUUGGGACCCGAAAGAUGGUGAACUAUGCCUGAAUAGGGCGAAGCCAGAGGAAACUCUGGUGGAGGCUCGUAGCGAUUCUGACGUGCAAAUCGAUCGUCAAAUUUGGGUAUAGGGGCGAAAGACUAAUCGAACCAUCUAGUAGCUGGGUUCCUGCCGAAGUUU